GUGCUUGCUUCAGCAGCACAUAUACUAAAACUGGAGCAAUAUAGAGAAGAUUAGCAUGGCCUCUAUGCAAGCAUGAAGUGCAAAUUUGUGAAGGGUUCCAUAUUUUU